CUAAUUCGAAAAAAUAAUACAUUUGGGGUAAAUUGUUCAAAUAAAUGCUUAUUUAAUAAGUACUUAUUAUAUAACAGUUUACGUCAUAACUUCUCAUGUUAAGUAGGCUAUUUGUAUUUGCAGAUAAACAUCGAAAAACUAUUUGCAUGAUCAACAAUAGUUCUCACUAUAACCAAAGAAUUUGGGGUAAAUGGAAAUUGAAGUGAGAACAACUACACAAGCUGUUUCUAUAAAAAUAUCUUGGAUAGCCUAUCACUGAACAAACAAUGGGCAUAUCACAGAGACACAAACUAUUCUUAUGUUUUUCCAAACACUUACCCAAGCACUCAUAUCUGAGAUAAGCCAAAUUUAGCUCCACACAAAUUCUUCCAAACACUCCCUUAUACAAUUUAUAUAAGUUUUCCCAACCACUUACCCAAGUCCUCAUGUCAUGAGGUAAGUUCAAAUAAUCUGUAAAGAAAUUCUUCCAAACACUCCCUUAUACUAAUACUGGACUUCCAUAAGGAAACAAAUCAUGAUACAUAAGGAAAUGUGAAAACAAAUCUUAUACAUAAGGACGGUGGCCAAUUUCUAAGAGAUAAUCUAAGAUACAACAUUUAUGAUAGAGUAUUGACGUAAUGAGAUGUUUUCAGGCAGGUUUGUAUUAAGUAAGGAUAAAACUUAACAGGUUUGUAUGCAACCUAUCGAGUCUAUCUUAAUAACUUUACAGACACAUCAAUAUAGAGAAAGUCAUCCCAACUAUGUGUGGCGCCACUCCCACCAACAAUCAUCCGAUAAAGAAAAAUGUGUGCACAACAAAUUUUGAAAUUAAGGUGUAGAUUUGUUUUCCUUUACUGCUGUAACAAAUUUGUUACCAUAAUUACUGUAGUUAGAAGGUGAUUGUGUACACUAUUUAUUUCAUGAUUCUAUAUCCUUGGAACUUCCACACCAGAAUCCUAAUUCCUAGCCACCUUCAUUGUGGUAAACCCCAAUUUACCUUCAUUGUAGUUUUAGGUUACCUUCAGUCGGAGUGCCUUCGUAGAACUUCUUUUUCUAUCUCCUGUGAGACUUAUUGGAUAGAGAUCACACUUGUUGACCUUAAAUCAGGUACGAAGAACUCAAGAGGCUAUUGUAUGGUGAUAAAUUUGUUACUAAUUUACCAUGCAAACCAAAUUAACAUGAUAGGUCAAAGUACAUAGAAAUCCUAAUUCCUAGCCACCUUCAUUGCAGUAAACCCCAAUUUAGCUUCAUUGUAGUUUUAGGUUACCUUCAGUCAGAGUGCCUUCAUAGAGCUUCUUUUUCUAUCUCCUGUGAGACUUAUUGGAUAAAGAUCACACCUGUUGACCUUAAAUCAGGUACGAAGAACUCAAGAGGCUAUUGUAUGGUGAUAAAUUUGUUACUAACUUAUCAUGCAAUCCAAAUCGACAUGAUAGGUCAAAGCACAUAGAAACAAACAAACAUUUCAUCAAGAAAAAGUUCAACAACAGUCUUGCAACUACGACGUUUUCCCAAAGAGUGGUUUCAUGAUCUCAAUUGUAAGCUAAAAAUGAUAAAUAUUCAUUCAUCGGUUUGAGAGUGUAAUAAGGCAAUUAACAAAAAAGAAACCAUUAUUAGUUUUGUAACAUAUGUGCUAUUAUAAUUGUUGUACGUAAGAGUUGAUUGUUACAAUCAUAAUUAUCUAAAUUUAUUUUCAUGUAACUCUUUAAUUACAAUAGAUUUGAUAGAGCCUAUAUGUUUGUAUCGAUUUCUGUAAUUGAAAAAGAUAAUGACAACUCAGAUUCUCCUCUUUAUUAUUUCUUUCUGAGUGUGUUGUGGAAUUCUUAGGGAAACAAAAAGCUCUUAACUACUACUACAGUUCAAUUAGGAAAAUGCAGAAGGUAUUCUCCAUAUGCAAAUCAUACGAAGUAGAGACUUGCAUAAAAAAAGUAAUUCAUUCCUACAUCAUGUUCUAUCAAGGACAUCUCCUUAAAGUAAUGUCCCCAAACUCAAACUAGUUAUCAACUCAAAAAAGAAAACAAUUCACAUGCAAGUCCAUCUUGGAACAACUUAAAAUUGAAUAAACAAAAAUUAUAUUAUUAAUUUUCUGUUACAAGGAAACUUAAUAUUUAUAUACAUUUAUAAAUUU
rnacentral:lncRNA from 1 species